rnacentral:rRNA from 1 species
AACUAACAAGGAUUCCCCUAGUAGCGGCGAGCGAAGCGGGAAGAGCUCAAAUUUAUAAUCUGGCACCUUCGGUGUCCGAGUUGUAAUCUCUAGAAGUGUUUUCCGCGUUGGACCGCACACAAGUCUGUUGGAAUACAGCGGCAUAGUGGUGAGACCCCCGUAUAUGGUGCGGACGCCCAACGCUUUGUGAUACACUUUCGAAGAGUCGAGUUGUUUGGGAAUGCAGCUCAAAUUGGGUGGUAAAUUCCAUCUAAAGCUAAAUAUUGGCGAGAGACCGAUAGCGAACAAGUACCGUGAGGGAAAGAUGAAAAGCACUUUGGAAAGAGAGUUAACAGUACGUGAAAUUGUUGGAAGGGAAACGCUUGAAGUCAGACUUGCUUGCCGAGCAAUCGGUUUGCAGGCCAGCAUCAGUUUUCCGGGGUGGAUAAUGGUAGAGAGAAGGUAGCAGUUUCGGCUGUGUUAUAGCUCUCUGCUGGAUACACCUUGGGGGACUGAGGAACGCAGUGUGCCUUACGGCGGAUUUCUCGAGAUCUUCACACUUAGGAUGCUGGUGGAAUGGCUUUAAACGACCCGUCUUGAAACACGGACCAAGGAGUCUAACAUGCUUGCGAGUAUUUGGGGUGUCAAACCCGGGAUGCGUAAUGAAAGUGAAUGGAGGUGGGAACCGCAAAG